GCCCACGUAGCUCAGUUGGUAGAGCACUUCCUUGGUAAGGAAGAGGUUCACCGGUUCAAUCCCGGUCGUGGGCUCCA
rnacentral:tRNA from 8 species